CUCACACCUGAAAGUAAAAAUAUAAUGGGAAAACAAAUCAUGACGUAAUUGAUAUUAAUAGUAUCGACAAAGCCUACCAUUCAAUGACUGACUGUACAGUGGUUUGGAUAAUUAUAUGUAUUUAGUACAUCUCUUCUAAAACCACAUACUGCUUUUUCUACAGACAGUAUUUUGAUAGUGUUUAAAUUAGAGUUAAAACUCUUAACACAUAAUCAAAGGAGAUAAAACAUGUGGUAUAUAUGGACAAAAAGGGAAAACAAUUUUUAAUGAAAGUUUUUAUAUCCAAUGGCUCACUGUGAAAUUCCCUUUUCUAGUACAUGCAUGUCAGUCAUAUAGGCGUUAAUUACGUUAAUUACAGCUAUGUUAUUGCAUUAAAACGUUGAUUAUGAUAUUGUCAAAUUAGCGACUAUUUAAGAGCACAGGAGGCAAAAGAGGUUGCUCUGGUGGGCAAAUCCCGAAAACGAAAGAUCACAAGAGAACGAAUGUUAGUUUAUUAGGCGCCCCGAAAUUCAUCAUGACCAGAGGAAAUUGGUUUCUCCUUGUAAUCUGAACUACGAUUACUAUUGCAAACCGAAGAAAAAUUGCAAAA